UCACUCUAUUUUUGGUUGGAAACUUUUGUUACUUUAAUCGGGUUCUUCGAGUUCGAGUAUAAAUCCGAGACCUCGACGCCCCGUUCACUGCACCUAUAAAAGGUAUGGAUUUGCAUUGGAGUACAACAAAUGACGCAGAUUAAGAACAUCACAAAUGGAACUAGAAGUUAGGCAUAGGAAAUUUUAUUUACUUUAUUUAGAUUAGGAAACACUUUAUGUUGUAUUCAUUUGACAUGUAAUAAAUAUUACAUUGUUUUGUACUUUAUUUUUUGAGAAAUAGAACUUGUUUAAUUAAUCAAAAGCAACGGGAUGACGUAUUA